CCUCUCCUGUCACCGGCUCGCCCCGCCCUCGGCCGCCGGGGCGGAGCCCACCCGGGGAAGGGAGGGGCCAGGGCAGAGGCGGGGCCAACGGGGCGCGCGCGCGCGCCUGUGUGUGUGUGUGUGUGUGUGUGUGUGUGUGUGUGUGUGUGUGUGUGUGUGUGUGUGUGUUCGCGCGCACGCGUUUGUGAGAGAAUAUGAGUGUGUGACUAUGUACAUUACAGACUGUGUGUGAGAGAUUGUGAGAGAGAGGCUCUGUGUGUGUGUGUGUGUGUGUGAGAGACUAUGAGAGAGAGUGUGUAUAUGAGAGACUACGUACGUAAAGACUGUGAGAGAUUGUGUAUAAGAAAUUGUAUGUGCAUGAGACUGUGUGUGUGAGAGCUCGUGUGUGUGAGAGCCUGAUAGGCACUGUGUUGAGAGAGACUGUGAAAGACGCGGUGUAUGCGUUUGUGAGGGAGAGAGGAGAGCGUGUGUUGGUAGGUGUGUGAGAGAGGGAAACACACGCAGACACAGAGCUCCACACUCCAGCGGAGCCCCUCUGUGCUUGCCUGGCACUGGCAGUGUGCCUGGGUGUGAUGCCGGCUGCCUGUCCUGAGUAGCUGUCCAUCCUUUACAAGUAAUACACAUUCUCCGUCUAUUUUGUUCCUUUUGCCUCCUCUCUGUGUCUCUCUGAAGGUCUGAAGGUCUCUCUCUGUUGAGUGCUUCCCUGGUGUGUGUUGGUUGUUGGAGCCUUGGGAGCAUUUGGUGGUGUAUCUGCCUUUGUGUAUAUUUCUAUAAAUGGUGAAGAUGACUCUAUUCCUGGAUCCAGGAGUGGAGAAUAACACCUUUACUAAGUGUAUCCUAUGAGCUCAGCUUGGACAAGUCGCAGGAACCUGGGCUGGGAUCCAAGGCAGGAUGUUUCUUACACGAGGGACAAGAGAUCUCUGUAGGGAGUCAGUGGGUCAACAUUUUGGUGGCCCAUAUGGGGAUCCAGAGAAGACCCUUCAUGACUUCAGUGCUGGUAAGCAAACAGAGGACAAUGAAGAGAUGUAUGGUGAGACGUAUAUAUUGUGAAAUACUUGGAUGUACCUCCUCCUUUGGCUGUAUGAAUACUAUAAACCUGACACAAGAAAAAUUUUUGGAGAAGAGAAUUGGCAUCUGUGUAUGAUUUCCCAUUUCUCUGGAGAAGAAAGAUAAGAGCAGGGAAUUCCUGAGUAACAACUCUCAGAGAAGAAUCAACUCAUUGCAAUUGCAUCUUAUCCACUGACCAGUGACUCAGAGUUUCAGUCAGAGAUGCUUGUCCAUGGAGUGAUAAUCUAAUUCCAUCAGUGGGCUGAUGCUCUGUCAACAGAGGAAUGUCGGGAGGAUCUAUUACAGAAUGGACAUCCAAGAUGAGAGAGUUUACACCAGUUUAUCCCACCAGCUGAGUGUGAGAGACCCUUCUCACAACACUCUUGGUAGCACUAUUGACUUAAGAAAAGGACAAUUGGACAACACAGUCAAGGCCUUCUCUCCAUUUUAGUCGUUUGUGUCAUUUUAAAGCCAGAGUAAAUGGAGUGUCUUUGUACUGUAUCAUGAAAACGAGGUA